rnacentral:rRNA from 1 species
UAGUAUCAGCGUGUCAGCAGCCGCGGUAAUACGUAGGGUGCAAGCGUUAAUCGGAAUUACUGGGCGUAAAGCGUGCGCAGGCGGUUUUGUAAGUCUGUUGUGAAAUCCCCGGGCUUAACCUGGGAAUGGCAAUGGAGACUGCAAGGCUAGAGUUUGGCAGAGGGGGGUAGAAUUCCACGUGUAGCAGUGAAAUGCGUAGAGAUGUGGAGGAACACCGAUGGGCGAAGGCAGCCCCCUGGGUCAAGACUGACGCUCAUGCACGAAAGCGUGGGGAGCAAACAGGAUUAGAUACCCUGGUAGUCCACGCCCUAAACGAUGUCUACUAGUUGUCGGGUCUUAAUUGACUUGGUAACGCAGCUAACGCGUGAAGUAGA